rnacentral:lncRNA from 13 species
CCAUAAGUCCCCUUUUAGAGGUCCAGAGUCCCGGCCACCAGCCCUGCUCCCCUUUCUCACCUCUCUGGCCCCUUUGGCAUUUGAGCCUGGGACCCCUGACGAAGGGAUGCCUUUCCUCUUAGGACCCCCGCCAAUCUGAGGACAGGGCCACCCCACAGACGCUGUGGCUCAGCAGGCAGAUCAAUGGCCGAGGAGUCUGGCAAGGGGCGCUUGGUGAGUGGGUUUAAUGGCAGAUUAAGCUGCCCAUUAGGAAACCAUUAAAACACAGCGUGAUGCAUCACUGGGUAAACGAGAGAGGCUGAAGUUAGAGACAGGUUCUUGGAGCGCUUGAUCCAAUUUAAUUCUUCUAUUUUUUUUUAAACCCUAGGCAGAUGAGAGUGGAGGCUGUAAAUUACCCUCUAUGCAAUGGCUCAUCAUAAAGGAUAUGGAGCGAAAUUAGAGGAGGCACGAGAAGGAAAGCCCGUGAUGAACAAGGCAGGGGCUGCUGCUGCGUGAUUGAAGACAGGCUGGGAACUCGGGAGAAGCCGCUGGAAAUUGACUUGGGUUGGAGGUCUGAUUCCAGCAUCCCAAGCCAGAAGAGCCCCGGGCGAAGCCUUCUGCUCUGCCUUGCGGAGUAGGAUAGGGAAUAUGUGUGCAGAAUACUUCCUGAGACUCAUAGUGCUAUCUACAUGGAAUGUGAAGUCAGAAUGUCUCUAAAUCCUGGCUCCGUUGGGUUUUGGCUGUGUGACUUUGGGUGUUGGUCCUCAGAGAACCUUCCCUGGGACAAUCCCAUCCACAGCAGCCACUACCUAACUUGUCACUGAUAUCCGCUGGAAGCUACUGAGGACUCCUCAUUACUCUCCCUUGGAAGACUUUGCCUGCAAUGGAGCCAACACAGUGGAGAGCAGAGCUGAGAAAUGAACAGACAACUCCUGAUGCAUCAUUUGAGCACCUGGAUUUAGCCAUGCCUGAAACUAUUAUAGCCUUGGACUUUUCAACCAUAGCAAGCAGUCAAGAAGGAAAGGCCAGAAACAGGUGGAAAGCCUACCAGGACAAGCUAGAGCCCCACAAGGACAGACUGAAGCCCAUGUUCUUGGUGAUGAGGGCAUCCUACAGAAGUCAGGCCUUUGUUCCAGAUCUGAACACAUACACCUGGCCCAGCUCCUGCAUCACAUCAACAAGGUGAGUCAGCAGGUGAGCAACAAUGUAUUUGUGAUACAAAAUUCUUCUUGCCCCCACUAACGCCACACCCUACUCCAAGUCACUGAGAAUCUCCCUCAUGGCCAACCUUAACUGGAAACAUAUAAAAAAGGGGAUUCUGUAGUUCAGCCUAGCUAAGCUGAUACACUGCAAACUCAUCACAUCAUAACACUCACUCCAGUGGCUCUUAAAGGCCUCAGCUCCUCGCUGGCUGUUGGCAGGGGGCCCAGUCCCCCAUCACAUUGGCCUCUCAUUAGGGCUGCUUGAGUGUGCUCAUGACACAACAGCUGGCUGCCCCCAGAGUGAAUGGCCCAGAGAGAGAAUGAGGAGAAGCCUGCAAUGCCUUUGAUAGCUUAGUCUUGGAAGUCGCUUAUUGUCACUUCUGCCGUAUUCUAUUCAUUACAAAUGGGUCACUGAGUUCAGAACACAAGCAAGGGGAGGACAAUUAGGCUCCACCUUUUGAAGAGAGGAGGGUCAAAGAUUUAUGGGAGUAUUGAAAACCAGAGGACAGUAUUUAAGCUAUGGGGAAGGCAGCAAUUUGAAGAGCCAGAGAAGAGUGUUUUGGGGGCAGAGGUGACAGCAAGAGACCCUGAAGGGUUUGAUGUGUGUAGGCGCCUCCUCUUAAACUCUAUGUGGCUACAGCCUCAUGAGCCAGCCCCCAGGGAAAGCCGCCUACCAUGCGGCUGGGUCUCCUCUAUUGGGAUGAGCAAUUUGUGCUUUAUUCCAAGUGCAACGAGAAGCCAUCAUGAGGUCACAAGAAGAGGGACACAGUCUGGUUUGCGUUUUUGAGGUAUUGCUGUGGCUGCUUUAUGGGGAGUGGAUUGGAGGGGAGGAGGAUAGAGUAGAUGCAGGGAGCCCAGAAGGGGCAUCAAAACAGCAUGCCUGUUCUCGUUCAAGCUGUGUUGUUUAUUUGAUUAAUUCUUGUAACCUUUCUGAACCUCUUUCAUCCACUGUAAAAUGAGGUGACUAUUUCUUGCACACUUCCC